rnacentral:rRNA from 1 species
CCUACGGGUGGCAGCAGUGGGGGAUAUUGCACAAUGGGCGAAAGCCUGACGCAGCGACGCCGCGUGAGGGAUGAAGGUCUUCGGAUCGUAAACCUCUGUCAGCAGGGAAGAACGGUCACUGUGCUAAUCAGCAGUGAAUUGACGGUACCUGCAAAGGAAGCACCGGCUAACUCCGUGCCAGCAGCCGCGGUAAUACGGAGGGUGCGAGCGUUAAUCGGAAUUACUGGGCGUAAAGCGCGCGUAGGCGGUAUGUCAAGUCAAGGGUGAAAUCCCCGGGCUCAACGUGGGAACUGCCUUUGAAACUGGCAGACUGGAGUGUGUGAGAGGAUAGUGGAAUUCCAGGUGUAGGGGUGAAAUCCGUAGAUAUCUGGAGGAACAUCAGUGGCGAAGGCGACUAUCUGGCACAUAACUGACGCUGAGGAGCGAAAGCGUGGGUAGCAAACAGGAUUAGAUACCCUGGUAGUC